GCCCUAGUAGCUCAGUUUGGGAGAGCGCUAGACUGAAGAUCUAGUUGUCCCCGGUUCAAAUCCGGGCUGGGGCA
rnacentral:tRNA from 1 species